rnacentral:rRNA from 1 species
UCGAGAAUCUUCGGCAAUGGGGGAAACCCUGACCGAGCGACGCCGCGUGCGAGAUGAAGGCCUUCGGGUUGUAAAUCGCUGUCAGUGGGGAGGAAGUGCCGGUGGGUUCUCCCAUCGGUUUGACCUAUCCGCAGAGGAAGGACGGGCUAAGUUCGUGCCAGCAGCCGCGGUAAUACGGACCGUCCAAACGUUAUUCGGAAUCACUGGGCUUAAAGGGUGUGUAGGCGGUCCGGGAAGUUGGGUGUGAAAGCCCUCAGCUCAACUGAGGAACUGCGUCCAAAACUGCCGGACUCGAGGGAGACAUAGGUGAGCGGAACUUAGGGUGGAGCGGUGAAAUGCGUUGAGAUCCUAAGGAACACCAGUAGCGAAAGCGGCUCACUGGGUCUCUUCUGACGCUGAAACACGAAAGCUAGGGGAGCGAAGA